rnacentral:rRNA from 1 species
GACGAACGCUGGCGGCGUGCCUAAUACAUGCAAGUAGAACGCUGAAGGAGGAGCUUACUUCUCGGGAUGAGUUGCGAACGGGUGAGUAACGCGUAGGUAACCUGCCUGGUAGCGGGGGAUAACUAUUGGAAACGAUAGCUAAUACCGCAUAAGAGUAGAUGUUGCAUGACAUUGACUUAAAAGGUGCAAUUGUACCACUCUGAGAUGGACAUGGGUUGUAUUAGCUAGUUGGUGGGGUAACGGCUUACCAAGUAGACGAUACAUAGCCGACCUGAGAGGGUGAUCGGCCACACUGGGACUGAGACACGGCCCAGACUCCUACGGGAGGCAGCAGUAGGGAAUCUUCGGCAAUGGACGGAAGUCUGACCGAGCAACGCCGCGUGAGUGAAGAAGGUUUUCGGAUCGUAAAGCUCUGUUGUAAGAGAAGAACGAGUGUGAGAGUGGAAAGUUCACACUGUGACGGUAUCUUACCAGAAAGGGACGGCUAACUACGUGCCAGCCGCCGCCGUAA